rnacentral:rRNA from 1 species
UUAAAUUGAAGAGUUUGAUCAUGGCUCAGAUUGAACGCUGGCGGCAGGCCUAACACAUGCAAGUCGAACGGUAACAGGAAGCAGCUUGCUCUUGGGUGACGAGUGGCGGACGGGUGAGUAAUGUCUGGGAAACUGCCCGAUGGAGGGGGAUAACUACUGGAAACGGUAGCUAAUACCGCAUAACGUCGCAAGACCAAAGUGGGGGACCUUCGGGCCUCACACCAUCGGAUGUGCCCAGAUGGGAUUAGCUAGUAGGUGGGGUAACGGCUCACCUAGGCGACGAUCCCUAGCUGGUCUGAGAGGAUGACCAGCCACACUGGAACUGAGACACGGUCCAGACUCCUACGGGAGGCAGCAGUGGGGAAUAUUGCACAAUGGGCGCAAGCCUGAUGCAGCCAUGCCGCGUGUAUGAAGAAGGCCUUCGGGUUGUAAAGUACUUUCAGCGAGGAGGAAGGCGUUGUGGUUAAUAACCACAGCGAUUGACGUUACUCGCAGAAGAAGCACCGGCUAACUCCGUGCCAGCAGCCGCGGUAAUACGGAGGGUGCAAGCGUUAAUCGGAAUUACUGGGCGUAAAGCGCACGCAGGCGGUUUGUUAAGUCAGAUGUGAAAUCCCCGGGCUCAACCUGGGAACUGCAUUUGAAACUGGCAAGCUUGAGUCUCGUAGAGGGGGGUAGAAUUC